rnacentral:rRNA from 1 species
UACGACCUACGGGGGGCAGCAGUGGGGAAUAUUGCACAAUGGGGGAAACCCUGAUGCAGCAACGCCGCGUGAGUGAUGACGGCCUUCGGGUUGUAAAGCUCUGUCUUCAGGGACGAUAAUGACGGUACCUGAGGAGGAAGCCACGGCUAACUACGUGCCAGCAGCCGCGGUAAUACGUAGGGAGCGAGCGUUGUCCGGAAUUACUGGGUGUAAAGGGAGCGUAGGCGGGAUUGCAAGUUGGAUGUGAAAACUGCGGGCUCAACCCGGAGCGUGCAUUCAAAACUGCGAUUCUUGAGUGAAGUAGG